AGGACGAACGCUGGCGGCGUGCUUAACACAUGCAAGUGGAGCGACGAACCAGGGCUUGCCCUGGGGCAGAGCCGCGAACGGGUGAGUAACACGUGGGUUACCUGCCUCGAUGACCGGGACAACCCGAGGAAACUCGGGCUAAUACCGGAUGUGCCCGCAAGGGGAAAGGAAGCUUCGGCCUCCGCAUUGAGAUGGGCCCGCGGCCCAUUAGCUUGUUGGUGAGGUAACGGCUCACCAAGGCUUCGAUGGGUAGCUGGUCUGAGAGGACGAUCAGCCACACUGGGACUGAGACACGGCCCAGACUCCUACGGGAGGCAGCAGUGGGGAAUCUUGCGCAAUGCGCGAAAGCGUGACGCAGCAACGCCGCGUGGGGGAAGAAGGCUUUCGGGUUGUAAACCCCUUUCAGUUGGGACGAAGCUUCUCCGGUGAAUAGCCGGAUGGAGUGACGGUACCUUCACAAGAGCACCGGCUAACUACGUGCCAGCAGCCGC
rnacentral:rRNA from 1 species